UAGAUUCAUUGUGUAGGUUGGGGCGCUAGAUAUGAUCCAUAUCUAACAUAUCUGAUAGGCUCAACCAAUGCUCAUGAGAAAAUGCAGCGAAAUGUACUGUCAUCAUAUUAUUUCACAAUUCAUACUCACUGAAUACGAGUAAAAGAGAGCACUUCAAACAAAAAUUACAAACACUUGAAUUAAAAACUUUCCAUGACCUCUCUUCAUGUUUUUAUCCAUGUUUUUGGUAGAAAGGAAAUUAAAGAUUGUUCAGCAGGCUUCUUCCUAACCCACAAGACAAAAUAAAACAGAGUGAUGUUCUCUUGUAAAGGAAAGCUUUUAUUUCAAGACCACAUCGAAGAAGCAGGCAUGAGGGAACCUUCAGCGGCGCAACCACUGCACUCUGGUGUUGAUUUGGAUCCAAAAGGCAGUUAGAUGUCAAAGGGUUGCCUCAAGAAUGCCUCCAUUUGCUUCGCCCUAGUCCUGAUCGACAUGUCAAACACCUUCUGCCCAAAUUCAAUCACCAGUCCUCCCAUGAUACCCUGGUCAAUCUGCAGAGAAAGUACAAUUUGAAGUUUGUUCAAUAUUACUUGACACCUCACAUGCUAUAGAGAUACCUUGUGGAUCAAGGACUUACCUUUUGUUCAACCAAGAUGGUUUUGUCUUUCCCAAGGAUAUCACGCAAGGUCUCCUUAAGUUCUUUCUCCUCCUUCUCAGGAAGUGGCUAUCAGCACAAAACAGAUAAGUCAGCAACCAAAACCAAACUAUUGUCAACACAGUCAGGAUCUAUAACAGAAGUUGCACAGAGAAUGCAUCCACGCAUUGACAAACCAGCUUAAAAAACAUGACAAGUUUUCCACAAUUUAUCAAGGUAAUAGCUCCUCGUUAACAUAUGGCAGGAAUUCUAAGAUAAGCCUGUUAAGAGUUGAACUUUGAGUGAUGGCAAGUACAAACGUUCCAACUCAAUCAACUAAAAGACUUCCUACUGCCAUAACAAAUAGUUUCGGAUCAAUUCAACUCAACUUUAUAAUUUUAAGGAAUGAAUUUUAGCUCAUGCAGGUAACUUCUAAAAUAUUAUCUGCAUUUAACAUUUUUGCAAACAAAAAAAAAUCCUAUUUUAUCUCAAUGAGUACUAAACCCCCAAAGGCAGCAAUUUGUUAGUUCACUGGAUCAUGCCAUACUAUUAGGCACAUGAAAGGAGAGAACCCAACUAACAAGCAUUUUAGUUGCAGUUGGUUUCUGUUGGUGCGGAGCAGAAGGCAACCCUACUUCCAGCUUGAAAGAAUAGGUUAUAGCUAACUACAGGGACAUAUCAACAAAAACAACAGUAGUAAACCAGGAAGGCACAAGAACUUCAUAACAAAUUAAUAUACGAAAGAAGACAACAAAUGGUCAUUUCAUGUUACCAAGAAUCAAGGUAAGGCUAAUCAUAUGCACAUGCAUCAAACUUCCUUUCAUAUGUGAUGAAAGUGAACACUGAGAAAUUCGACCAGCGUCAAACACACAGUGCUCUUAGUAGCAAGAGACAAAUAAAUAGUGGGAUAUCAGGUUAUCAACUUACAACAACAGUCCUGACAACAACUUUCACCUCCCCCCUAUGUGCCAUGGUCAAAUCAACAAAUCUCUCAGCAAUGCGUUCAACAUAUUUCAGUCUUCCAUUGGAUGCCAAUGCAGCUUCACAUAAAAGAAAAAAUUAGACGCGAAUAAAAUUCCUUAUAACUAAGUUCUCUAUAAGUUUUAGAUUGUAUGCAUAUCAUCACUUAUCAGUGAUACCAUGUACCUUAAUUGAAAAGAAAUUCCUGCGAUCGAUACUUAAAUUAGGUUGUUAACUAAUACAACUGAAAACAACAUCAUAACAGAUAAGAAAUGCAAACGGUGUUACUUUGAUUGAAAAUAUUACUGCAAAAGAAAGCAAACUGUUGACAAAGCAAGCAACAUUGGAAACAAAAUAACUAAAAAUAGUCCCAUGCAUUUGGAUUGGUACAUCACUAAAGCACAUGCUGCUAAAAACUAUAACUUAGUAUCUCUUAUUAUAAGCACCUACAAUGAACUUCAUUAGACAUAAGAGGUUGAGUGGAUUGGAAGCAUACACAAGAAUUUCUUUGUGAUGUCAGUAAACCCGGCUUCAGAGAAUAUUUCAGUUAUAGCCUUCACCCUGGUUUCUUUAGGCACUGAUGUGUCCUUCAUGAAUUGAGAAAACAUAGGGCUCUUCUUGGAUGCCCCUACAACAUCGAGAAUCUCAGAUUCAACUUUUUCCAACGAAUUUGCGUUGGCUGCUGCAAGGAACAACGCACUAGCAUAGUUGCCGGUGCCACCAUACAGAGCUUUUGGAACCUAUUAUGGCAUAAGAACACAAGUAAGGACAAAACAACAGACAAAGCCACCAAGUAACCAAUUUACUGAAUUGCACAAGUAGUAUUAAAAGUUUGAAACAGAUUAUGUAAAACAUAAGACAAGAGAAUACAUCCAUCAAUGGCAUGAACAUUUUUGUGCUGCGAUUGAUACACUAAACAAAUGCAACGUGAACAAUCUGUCUUCGCUGAGUAAACUAAUUUGAGUGAUUGUUGCAGUAUGUGAUAGCAACAAGCAUGGUUACACUCCAACAGGAUAUGAAAUAGUUUAAAACCAGUAAAGGCUAAGUUUCUCAAGAUCAAGGCAUUUCGGCCAUAAUGACAUAUCACAUAUGGGAUCCCAACAAGAAAAAUGUAGAUUUCUUUGCGCAGGCAGGCAGGCAAACAUAAACAGUUGCAUGAUUCUUAUGGUCCCUUGAUAAGUUGACCAGACCGUCAAAGUAAUCUGCGGCACUCACAACGAACAUAGAUAGAAUCUCGCGGUCCUAAACUGGUACAUCCGCAGACCGCAACACAACGACAACAGCAACAAUCCAACCAAAUGCCUGAUCUCGAGUUACCUUGAUCUUGUUCUCCUUAGGCUUAUCCGUCUGCGUUGCCAACCCCCUCGACGCCUGCAUCAUAAAUAACACGUCAAAACCAACGACCGAAGAAAAAAUCACACCGAAAUCGAUUCGACGAGACGACAGAUUUGAAUCAAUGGGGGGAAACUAUCCAGGGAUGUCAGCAACACAAGGCGAACCUAGAUCAGCCAGCUAAGGGGAUCGACGGGCUACCGAAAUCUGAGGGGAAUGGCAUCUUCUGAUUGAGCCAAACAAAGAGGGGGGACAGGGAAGGGAAUCGGGACCUGAGCGACGGCCGCGGAUUCGGUGGCCGCGAGGCGGGCUUGGAGGAGCGGGACGCCGGAUCUGAGGUGCCGCGCCGCCAUUUCCGGUUCGUUCCGCGGUGGUGGAGAGCGAAACCUAGGAGGAGAUCGGG
rnacentral:lncRNA from 1 species